GUCCUCUUCCUCUCCCCCCGUUCCCUUAACCAACCCCGCCACCGCCGACGACCUCCUCUCCCCAAACCCAAACCCCAAGCACCAACGCCGGCGCCCUCCACCCCACCAGCAGCCGCUGCCAUGCACAGCACCGUUAGCUCUCUCGGCACCCGAAACCCUAGCUCCGGCCGGGCGUGCCGCGGCAUGGAAGAGCGCCGCGGAUCCGCCUCCUCGCCGUGGCCCCAACCUCCCCUUCUUCGGGCGCGGCGCAGGGGAGGGAGGGCUCCCUCCCUCUUGCCGACCGUCGAUGCGGUUCUUCUUCACGCAUUCAGGCAGUGAAGAGACCUACGCCAUGGAGGAUUCGAUUUGGCAGACCCUCCCUCUUGCGGACCGUCGAUACGCUGCAGAUGUGCGUGGAGAAGAAGGCCCUAGCAUUGGGGGAUGACCGGCCAUGCCAAGCUCCUCUUCAUUGGAGUUGGAGUUGGAUUUGGUCACCACCAAUUUGCUCCUAGCAUGCCCUCCUCUCUUUUGCAGCAACAGCAGCAUGGAUUCGGUACAGCAGAGGACAAGAAGGUCUUCAUGCCAGGCUCUAGGGCUGGGCGAGAGAACUUCUACUCUCGGUCGUGGUUUUAGUUUCCAUUCUAGCUCUCAGGUCAAGGCUGCAUCACGUAAGAACUGGUUCUGGUUGCUUCAUGCUAUAAAAAUGGGGCAGGGGGGCGACCCCCUUUCAUUCAAAAGAAGAGAAGGGCUUCAUUUCAUUCUCUUCCGUUGUUGGUUGUGCAACAGAGGCGGCUACGAAAUCGCCAUGGUGCAUGAGCUAAUCCAGUAUCUCACCAGGGUGCCCUCUCUCUCUCUCUCUCUCUCUAGGAGAAAGAGUUUUGGUCUUUUUGCUCCUACUCUAGCUAGCUGCAUAUAUACACAGUGUCGUUGUACCACGUGUGCACGCCCAUCGUAAUUACCUGAUGCAUCUAUGAUUGAUCUGCAUAGUGGCAAAUGAGCACCACUACUGUUACUAUUAGUAAGCACCUCUUUUGGUGACCGGCCAUGUUUAGUUUUCUCUAUGCAAACUACUGCACAUGUGUUGGCAUCUAUUAGUUUUAAUUUCCUGACUGUUCUGAAACCACUCCAAAAUGGAACAAGGAUCCAUCUCAACCUUGUUUCAGAGUACUUGUGUGAUUUAAUGAUACUUGUUGUUUUAGAUAUCUCCUACUUGCUCGGGUGAAAUACUUGUUGUUUUAGAUAAGCAUGGUGCUCCUCUGUUUUGAUAUGUAGCGCUCUAGUAAUUUAAAUGAUUCAAAUUCCUAAAGCAACAACGCAUUACCUUCGUUUGGAAAUAAGGGGCAUGAUUUUAGUUGAAAUUGGAACUGAAACCACGACAAUUAUUUCCGAACGGACGGAGUACUUGUUUUCUACACAACAACUAUGCAUUCAACGAUCUGACCUAUAUUAUAUACAUGUUGAGGUAGAAAAGUGGGUAUAUAUACUUGCUUCUAUUCUGCUCUGGGCAACUAAAUUAACUGGGGAACAUGAAAGGCACACAUCAACUGAUGAUACCAGAAUAAUUGAUUGGCUGCUACACAGGCCAGAUUCUUGCUCUGCUGCUAGUUAAACACUUAAACUACAGCAGGUCAGGGCUAGCCAUGAGUGUGUGCGUGCAUGUUUUUGCCCCUAAAGGAUUUUAACCUCGGAUGAAAUUCCAUGGUUCGAUGGUCCCUGUGUAGUUUCUGAUGCAGAUCGUACAUCCAUCAAAACACACAAUUCAAACUGAACUUUGAUUUCUUUUGCUUGGUUCCACUAAGAUGCGUUAUUGCAAGCUAUUCAUUAUUUUUCAGUUUUGAGCUUGAGAAGAGUACUUAUUCACUAUAUUGUAGCUAUAACAGUUUUCAGCGUUCCAUCUUUCUAGUCUCCUAUGUUGAACAGAGACAUACAAUUUGCAGUGUUAAAUCAAUAUAUGAUCUCUUUUUCUAUGUCCCCACGAAUACCCAAUACAAGUAAAGCAAUUUGUUCCGAUCAAUCAACAGUGAGUGAAUCGGGAUGUUGAUUAAUGUGGGGGAUUCACUUGCUGCUCAAUGUGAACUUGCGUAAUUAGUGAUGUCACUAUGAGUUCCUCGCUCUGACCGAUCUGUUACGUAUUUCAGUCAUUGUUGGUAGCUAGUCUCAGUUAUGAUGUUCCUUUGUUUUGUAGAAGAUGGACCAAUCACGGAUAGAGUAACAAGUAGCUGCGGGUUGCCCAAUAUGCCUCCAAACCGUACGCUCGUGUAGCAUUGGUAGAAGCAAAUUGACAAAUUGGCUAGCAAAAUCGCAGCCUGGAGCUAGCUUGGUGGUAAAUCUGAAGCCCGUCCCCACACGGCGUCGCUCAAACUUGAAUUUUUUUUUCAGUUCUGAGCUAUGAGAAGAUUACUUACUUCCAAUUUUUGAGCUAUAACAGUUUUCAGUCAGUGUUGCAAGUUUCUACUCUGCUAUACUGAAUAUAAUAUAGACACAUUUUUCAGUGCUCCAUCAGUUCUGUGAUUUUCUAUUUUUAUGUGCCGACCACUACCUAAUACAAGUAAAUUGAUUUGUUCUGAUCAUUAUACAGUGAAUCAAGAUGGUGAUCAAUGUCGAGGAUUUACUUCUUGCUCAACUAUUUACAAGUGAAACUUGGCUAACCAGUGGUGGAACUAUCAACAUCCCGAGGACUAAGAAAGUAACCGUGGUGGUUCGCCCAAUAUGAAAUUUUGUAUCUCUGAAAGUAGAGAUUUUUUACAGUACAUCAUACUACCGAAUUUAAGGGGUAGUAUUAACCAGAUCCAA